rnacentral:rRNA from 1 species
AUGGAGGUUGAUGCCCUGCUCAGCAUCCUGCACCUCUUCGGCGAGGCCACGGGCCUGCACGUCAACCUGGCCAAGUCCUCGGCAGUGCCGAUUAGCUGCGGCGACCUCGACCUCGGUUCCAUCUUGCACAACUUUGGUGGCAUCGUGGCGUCACUACCCAUCACGUACCUAGGCCUCCCAAUCACCACCAGUAGGAUUCGUCUAGUCCACCUGCAGUUCAUCCUAGAUAGGAUUCGUGCGCGCCUUGCUGGUUGGAAGGGCAGACUCAUGCAUAUCGCCGGCCGAAGGGUGCUCGUCCGCUGCGUCCUCUCCGCUAUGCCGACGUUCGCCCUCACGUGCUGA